AUGAUUGAUUAAUAAUUAUGAAUCGUUAAAGGAUAUAACUAUCAAUAUAAUUGAUGAUUAAUCUUAUGUAAAUAUUGUAAUUAUGUAAUUCACUAAGUGUUAGUGAAUUAUAGAAAUAUUAAUUAGCAAUUAAGUUGUUAAUUGACUUAAUUUGAUUGAGUAAUGAGGCUCGAAUCAAGUCUAAUUGAAUCGAAUUCAUUUUGACUUGGAUUG
rnacentral:lncRNA from 1 species